rnacentral:rRNA from 1 species
UACGGGGGGGGCAAGCGUUGUUCGGGAUUACUGGGCGUAAAGGGCUCGUAGGUGGCCAACUAAGUCAGACGUGAAAUCCCUCGGCUUAACCGGGGAACUGCGUCUGAUACUGGAUGGCUUGAGUUCGGGAGAGGGAUGCGGAAUUCCAGGUGUAGCGGUGAAAUGCGUAGAUAUCAGGAAGAACACCCGUGGCGAAAGCGGCUCUCUGGAACGGUACUGACGCUGAGACGCGAAAGCGUGGGGAGCGAACAGG